CCCUGGAGCAUGGUAAUUACUCUCACACUAAAUACCUACAGUCAUUACAGAGGCUGGCCAGAAGUAGGAUUUAUUCCCGGUAACUGGCUGUAUCCCCUGAUUACAUAAAACAAUGUCAGCGCCAAGUGCAGCUCACAGCGGGGAGAUAGUGAGACCACCUAUGGCUUGUCCUCUAUUGUAAACUGCUAGUCCCUAAUGCUGAGCCACACAUGUGUGCCUUAGACUUGCUGGGACGCUCGGCCAGACAUGUUACAGGAUGGGCCCAUAGAUAAUGCAGUCCUCCUUCCAUGAAACGAUUAUAGUGCCACAACGUUAGCCUCCAUGGAACACAUGUACAGCUCAUCCCGCUUCCUGGUGGGGAUUUAAACAUUUGGACGCCUGUUUCUUUUUACACUUAUAACGUGAAGUCAGUAGAUUUAAAGUUGUGAUGCUUAUCUAGUUAAUCUUUGGGUGUGUGGGGGGUAGCCAUAAAUUAAACAAGUUAAGGUAAAAGUGUAUUUUAAUAAUGACUGUUAAUAAUAAAAUACGUUAUUUGCUUUGAGUAAAAUUGAAAAAAAUUAUAAA